rnacentral:lncRNA from 1 species
AAAGUUUGAGGGAAAGUAAAUAGGGGGAGUAAAAUUUUGGAGGGAAAAUAUUAAAAAAAAAAAUUGGAGGGGGGAGGGUUUGGGGUAGAUGGGAGGUGGGAUGGGAAGAGAAUAAAAGUUUUAGGGGAAAAGUGGGAGGGAGUAAAAAUUUUGGGGGAAAAUAAAAAGUUUUGAGGGUUUUUGAGAGUAAAAUUUUGAAAAAAAAAUGAAUGGAAGAGUAAAAUUUUGGUGGGAAAUGGAUUUUGGGUAGAUUGGGGGGUUGGGAGGGGAG